AUGUGUGUAGGUCUCACGCACCCGGAUGCGGCGGACAAAGCUACGGCCGAUGUGGCACUCUCACACAUGGCCGCACACUCACCCAUGGACGCACAUAGCAAGGAGGAGGCAUCGAGCCUGCUGGGAGGCCGAUCGCCAUCUACUUCGUCAAGCCGGCGCCAUAGAGGACGGAGGCGUGGAGCUCGCCCAGAUGAUGCCCUCAACUUUGUCAUCAAGCCGACGCCAUGGAGGAUGGUGGCGUGGAGCUCGCCAAGACGACGCCUAAUGUCAACAUCAUCAACCAGGUGCCGCAAGGAUCGUGACGUGGAGCUCGCGAGGAUGCCGCCGAUGUGCUGCGGUGGAUCGCGGCACGGAGUUCGCCAAGAUGACGCCAGUGUCAACCUCAUCAAGCCGGCGCCAUGGAGGAUGAAGGCGUGGAGGCUCGGGAGGAUGCCGCCGCCGUACCACGGUGGAUGGCGCCACGGAGUUCGCCAAGAUGACACCAAUGUCAACAUCAUCAACCUGGUGCCGCAAGGAUCAUGCCUGGGAGCUCACAAGAAGGACACUAGUGUAACGCCCUGGAUACAACUUUCCAUAUUCGUAGCUGCAACUCUUGCCUUUUCCGGAGAUGCUAUAUGA
rnacentral:rRNA from 1 species